rnacentral:rRNA from 1 species
UACGGAGGGGGCUAGCGUUGUUCGGAAUUACUGGGCGUAAAGCGCACGUAGGCGGUGUGUCGCGUCGGCCGUGAAAACCUGGGGCUCAACUCUGGGCGUGCGGUCGAUACGGGCAUCACUUGAGUUCGGCAGGGGAGACUGGAAUUCCUGGUGUAGCGGUGAAAUGCGCAGAUAUCAGGAGGAACACCGGUGGCGAAGGCGGGUCUCUGGGCCGAUACUGACGCUGAGGAGCGAAAGCAUGGGUAGCGAACAGG